rnacentral:tRNA from 1 species
GUUUAUAUAGUUUACUUAAAACAUUACAUUUUCAUUGUACAAAUAUUGAACUAUUUCAAUUAUAAACU